UAUACUUAAUGUUCUUAUUAUUAAUUUAGGUAAUAUGUUUUGAAGGCUACAGUAUUAAAACAGCGCUAAAUGCAUAAAAAAAGGGAAAAAAAUAGCACCGAAACUUUAAGAUGUUUUUUGAAAAUAUGCUACAUAAACUUUCGUGACUUUAUGGUUUACAGAAACAAAUGUAUAGCUCACACGGGUAUCUCUAUAAGAUCACAAAGAAAAAUAUGCGAUUGCUUUAAGUUAUGAGUCCUGGUAAUAUGCGUUUAUGAAAUUAAAUAAUUGAUUUCGAAUCAACCCAACGAAUUGACUCGAAUAGAAUAGUGAUCUCAGUAUUUUUUUUUUU